UAUUAUUUAGUUUAAUAUAAAACAUUAUAUUUUCAAUAUAAAAAUAAAUUAUUAAUUUAAUAAUAA
rnacentral:tRNA from 1 species